UACGUAGGUGGCAAGCGUUGUCCGGAAUUACUGGGCGUAAAGGGCGUGUAGGCGGCCUUUUAAGUCAGACGUGAAAACCCUGGGCUUAACCCAGGAACUGCGUUUGAAACUGGAAGGCUUGAGGACCGGAGAGGGUAGUGGAAUUCCCAGUGUAGCGGUGAAAUGCGUUGAUAUCCACAGGAACUCCGGUGGCGAAGGCGGCACGCUGGACCCGCCCUGACGCUGAGGCGCGAAAGCCAGGGGAGCGAACGGG
rnacentral:rRNA from 1 species